GUCAGCGGUUGGUCUGGCUGGUUUUGCCUUGGACUCUACUCUGGAUCUGUUGUGGUCUGCUGGCUGUGGCCGGGCUGGCCUGCGUCUCAUGUUCAGCUUAAGUGAGCUGAUUUUGUCUGCUCCCUGGAUGGUAUCAUCUGGCUGUGUCUCCUUCCUCCCUGCAUGAGGGGGAGCUUGUCACCUGGCAUAGAGGUUGACUGUGCGCUGCAGCGUGUCGUCCCUUCCCGCAGUGCUCCUGGCUACACUGCUGUCUUGUCUAGAUUCGGGGUUUGGCUCACCCUGGGUUUUAUUAAUCUUAAUUGCUGCUUUUAAGAACUGCCAGUCCUGUGUCUUCUCACCCUGGAAUCCAGCAAUACGCCUGGCUCACCAGUUGUGGUUCCAGGGGGCGAACGUUAGGACCUCACCUACUCUGGUGACUAAGGGCAAGAUUGAGCUCGUUGGUCCCACGGUUGUUCGUUGUUUACCUCCCAGUUCUCCACCCCUUGGUACCAAGUGGUUGAAUUCUUUUAAUUGUUUUAGUAGCUACUGUUAAUAAACUAAUUUUUAAGGUCAAUCACAUUCUGUUGUCCUGGUGCAUCGG